UCAGCAGUCAGAUGUUCCAACUUCAAAAUCUCCUUUAUUAACAUUAUAUUUAGUUUACUUUAAAUUUGUUGUUGUAACAGUAGCAACAACAAGCCGCAGCUCGCACUCCCGGUUUUUAACCAUCCUGCCUCUGUUCCAACCAAGAAGAAGAACCAUGAAACAGGGAAAGUAACGAUAAAGAAGGUUGAGUUGGUUGGAGGACCCUCUACAGCGAGAUCACGAUCGCCUUUGCGAGGAAAAGGAACAGGAAAGGAAGGAACACGCAUGCAGAUGUCCGAGGGGGCCUGGUCGAAGGGGAUGGCCAACAUCGAAAAGCGUCCCAAGCCCGUGCCCCUCAACCAGGCUUUGGAAUCCCUGCGUGGCAGUGUGUCGAAAAUGUUUAUCAAUCCGAACGAAUGGGAGACCAGCACUGAUCCUUCUCCAGGCCACUGACCACUUCCUCCGGACCUGUUCCGUCUAAUCAAACUAUUUGUGUUACAUCGGAAAUUUAGAGUUCAAAUAUAUUUUUGAUUUGGCUGUAUCGGUAGAGGAAUAAGUUUCUGAUUCCGCCUACUUCUCAUACUGAAAUACAAACAUAUUUUGUAGUCCUUUAAGUAACAUCUGAAACUAAGUAUCCUCUCAAACUUAUCGCAAGGAAGUGUAACUACGUCCCCCUAUUAUUACUAAUCUGUUGCAACCCAUUAAGGACUUUAGAUGCCUAAAUAUGGAGCGACCUGUACGAAAAGCGCCCCAAAGUUAGUCAAAAUGAAGGUGUAGCUCCGGAGUGAUAUCACCUUGAAUGACAGACUUGCACAAUUAUAUUUUGCUUCAGUCAUAUGUUUACCCACGCAAUUCCAAAAUGUCUGUUAUCAGGCAGUUGAUAAACCCACUCCCCCCUUGCAAGUACAAUUGAUAGUGUCGAUGGGCCUUCUGGCUGCCGCAGAGUCAUACGACUAACAGCAAAAACCGAAGUUCUGCCUUGCGUCCCACCUUGAACCAAAAAACGGCAGCUUGUAAUCCCCAAAAGUUAAGCUUCUCAUAUAUUUUGGCAUCAGAGAGUAUCAGAUAAAAGAGAAAAAAGCCGAAGGAGGAGGAGGAGUAGUAGGAGUAGGAGAGUAAACGGAGCUCGAGAGGCGCAUUCAAAAAUUAAUCUGCAGCGGCAAUAAUUUUUGAUUUUUUGUGCUCUCAAGAAAAUCUCAAGCAUGUCAAAUUGUAUUCCAUUCAACAACAACAACAAAAUAAAAUAAAAAUCGGGCGAGAAAGAA